GGAAUGGCUGGCAAAGACAUUUCUUUCACGAGGCGGAGGAGUGCUGAUCUUAGCUGAUCGAACGUUGUGGACCCCUGGUAAAGCCCGCCUGCUUCUUACUGAUUUCUCUCUCCAGUUAUGAUAAAAUUUUGACUCCAUUAAGUGGGGGCAAGGCUGUGGGGAGUGAGUGUUUUGUGAGGACAGCAUGAGAGAAGGGCCCAAGAGACUAGGGGCUGAGGCGGCUGCCUCAGGGCAUCUGAUUCUCAGUUGGUAUUCCAGCUGCUAAGAAGUGAGCCUUGCAGACCUGAAGGCUUCUCAGUAAGGCCAGUGGAAGUGACAGGAAUGGGAGAAGGCAGGUCCCAGUUCCCCCCGUUAUGGCGAGCAUCUCCUGGAGAAGCUGCCCAGUUCACAGCACCAGCUCCUUCUUGGGACCCCUCCUGACUCAGAAGGGUGCUCGAGGAAGCUAUGUCUUAACCACCCUUGGCUGCAAAGUGGACACCCAGCUCUGGAGCAAUAGAUUCUCUCUUCAGAACAUUAAAUCACUGGAGAAUUGCAGAAACUAGGAUUUGUUAGAGUUAAAUCUCUUUAAUGGCAGUGUUCUACAGUGGUGGUCACUGAACAUUUUUUUUUUUUCAUUAUGCAUGGGUUAAAAAAAAGUGGGACAUGCAUUCCCAAUAUAUAUUUAUUUAUUUUUACAUUAUACAUAUCUACUAUUAUUACUAGCUAAUAUCUCAAAGCACACUACAUAGUUAGGGUUUUUUAAAAUGAAAAGUAAAUAUGACCCCAGUAGCAACAAACACGCCUAAUACCUGGAUCUCAGUUUCUAAUACCAUUCUCCAAUAAAAAGAAGCAGGUCUCCUUGGAUAAAUGGUUGAUUCUAGAACUGGUGUGGAAAAUAGAGAAGAUUAGCCUGGGGCAUCAUGUAAUGACAGAAACUAAGGAGGCACUCAACCGAGACAAAACAAAACAGCAUAAUAAUAGGGGUCUGUCAAAGGAAUACAGGAGCCAACUAUAAGAGCUCCUAAUGGCCAGAGCUAUAAAAGCAUAAGCAACAAAACAAACAAAAUACUAUAAAAUAAAUAUCCAUGUGUCCAUACUGAUAAAAAUAAAUGAUUGGAUAAAUAAGGAAAAAGAGCAAGUAUCAUGUACAGAAUCAUUCUAAAUAAUUUAUCUCAUAGACGGCAUAUUACCAUUGUUGUUAGAAUGUUAUUCUUGUUGCUGUUGUUAUUAUCAAUCUUUGUAUCCUUUGUUAACUCAGUGCUCAAAAACCUAUUACUUAAAUAAAAAACUAUUUUAACUAAGGUAAAAAUUACCUUUAAUAAAUUAGUAUGUUCCCCUCUUAUCCUGUUGACACAGGUGCAUUUCAACAGGACCUUUCUGGAGAAACAUCUAUGGAACUUAGAAGACGUGAGACUGAACAUUUAUGGUAUGAAGCCAGGGUAGUCACAUUAGUUAGGGGCAGGCUUCAUUU
rnacentral:lncRNA from 1 species